AUUCCUUAUUGGUUCCUAAGUAUAUAUCGAAAGGUAUAUAUGGUAAUAGUUAAUCACUAUUAGAGGAAAAAUAUCAAUAAGGUCAUAGUCAAUCCGCAGCAAAGCUCCUAAACCCGUUAUGCUAGGGCAUGGAGAAUGUUCAACGACUAAACGGAUGUGGGCAUGAAGGAAUUAGCACUUCCUAAUGAUUGCUUAAGAUAUAGUCUAAACCCACCAGUGAUGGUGUU
rnacentral:ncRNA from 1 species